UACGUAGGGCGCAAGCGUUGUCCGGAAUUAUUGGGCGUAAAGAGCUCGUAGGCGGCUUGUCACGUCGGGUGUGAAAGCCCGGGGCUUAACCCCGGGUCUGCAUUCGAUACGGGCAGGCUAGAGUGUGGUAGGGGAGAUCGGAAUUCCUGGUGUAGUGGUGAAAUGCGCAGAUAUCAGGAGGAACACCGGUGGCGAAGGCGGGUCUCUGGGCCGUAACUGACGCUGAGGAGCGAAAGCGUGGGGAGCGAACAGG
rnacentral:rRNA from 1 species